AAGAAAAAACACAAAACUCACUAUUAACCUAAUUUCUAUAUCUCUCCACUCCCGACAUUCCCCACUCAUCUUGUUCCAGCCCAAAAAAGAGAGAGAGAGAUUUAAUAGAAGAUGUUGUCUGAUUCAGAUCUGGGUCUACACCAACAAGUGCGAGAAACCCAUAUUCGACUUGGUCUAGUCAUGGUCGGAAAAAAAAACUUUAGUCUGCAAAACCAAAUCGAGACCUCUGCUCCUGAAAACCCUAGAUCUAUAUCUCUGCUUGUCUUGUUUCUUAGUAAGUCUUCCUCUUAGAAAACCCUAUAUAAAUCUCUCUCUUUUCAUAUCUAUGGCGGAUUUGGAUAAAUGAGGAGGAGUAAUCGCCGACAUUAGACACGACGGCGGUGGCGGCGGAGGAGAGGUUGAAGAGAGGGAGAAGCUAACAGAACUUGAAGGAAUCUCUGUGUUGGAUUUUGAUCUGCUUUGCUCGACGGUUACCCUUCAGACUCAGGGGAAGUGGAGGAAACUCGAGAGGUCGGUGGGUGACCAUGUAAUGGAGGAUAAUUACGACGGCGGCGUUUUGUGGCUUUGCGAUGGAGGAAAAUCCCAAGAGAUUUGACUGAGGCAUCUCUCUCUGGAGCUGAGUAGUUAUUUAACAUCCAUUACAGUUCAUGAACAAGCUGUCCUUGUUAAACUUUGUGUGGCUUAUAUGACAUGACACUGCGUUUUUGUUGUGCAGCAGCGGUGAGGAUUAUCGGUUGAUCAAAACCCCUUGAAAUCUGUUUUAUUUUUCUAAGAACUCUCACAUGUGUCAUUUUGUUAGCAGUAUUAUCAUUUGAGUCUGAGCAAGAUACAAGUAUGCGGUGUGUUUGUACUCUCUGUUACUCACUUUACUUUAUAGUUUUCAAUAUAAUUAAUUAUGAUUUAUUUGUUUAUAUAAAUUACUUUGACUGCAAAUCUUGGUGUUGUCACAGUUUAACUCUAUAUUUGACCGCAAAUGUGUGAUGUCAAAGGUUCACACGUAUGAAUGUAUUUUGGGACCAACCAAAGAGAGUGAGGAACACAAGAAGACAAGUCUUGAGUAAGAAUGGUUGUACUAAAGCUGGAGACUUGACGAGGACUUCAAGAAGGCCAAGGAGAAGAGUUACUUUCAAGAAGAAAGUAGGAGUUCCAAGAUUCUACUUGACGCCAUUAAACAGUCAUAUGGCCAGCAAAUCCGGUAAAAGUAGGCUGAUGAAUUAGUCUGAUUCCUGAUCUUUGAUUGUUCGGUUCAUGAUGGACUAUAUAUUGAAGCUGUGUUGUAAUUAGCAAUUACCCUGUGUGUUACUUAUUAUCCCAUUGUUCUAUAGAUAUAUGAACUAAAACCAUAUCCCAUUGUUCCAAGUUUUUAUCUUUUCAAAGUUAUGGCUGAUUUACAUUUAAGU